rnacentral:rRNA from 1 species
UACGUAGGGUGCGAGCGUUGUCCGGAUUUAUUGGGCGUAAAGAGCUCGUAGGCGGUCUGUCACGUCGAUUGUGAAAACUCGGGGCUCAACCCCGGGCCUGCAGUCGAUACGGGCAGACUAGAGUGUGGUAGGGGAGACUGGAAUUCCUGGUGUAGCGGUGAAAUGCGCAGAUAUCAGGAGGAACACCGGUGGCGAAGGCGGGUCUCUGGGCCACAACUGACGCUGAGGAGCGAAAGCGUGGGGAGCGAACAGG